GGACCUUCCGGGCCAGCGGGACCACCUGGACCACAGGGACCUAAGGGAAGAAGAGGGCCAAGAGGUCCAGAUGGUCCUUCAGGAGAAGUAGGGACACAAGGCAUUAAGGGAGAAAGAGGACAUCCGGGAAAGAAAGGACUCCCUGGCCUCAUUGGUAAGGCUGGAAAUCCAG